GUUUUAAGGAAGCACGCUUCUAAAAAUGACACACUUCACCCUCCUUUGGCGAUGAGUUCAGGAAGGCUUCCUGCAGGUAGCAUCUGACGGUGGCUAAGCCAGCCAUGCAGGCUCAGACCUGGGGGCAGAAACUGAAUGUCAAACCCCUUCCUGACAUGUCUACCACGUUCCUUCCAGCAGGUUUGAAUUCCGAAGUCUCAGACAAAUGACCACACUCUGGGUGGUUUAAAACAACAGGGUCAGGCGCAGUGGCUCAGGCCUGUAAUCCCAGCACUUUUGGAAGCCGAAGCAGGCAGAUCACCUGAGGUCAGGGGUUAGAGACCAGCCUUGCCAACAUGGUGAAAACCCGUCUCUACUAAAAAUACAAAAAUUAUCCAGGCCUGGUGGCGUGCGCCUGCAAUCCCAGCUACUCGGGAGGGUGAGACAGGAAAAUCACUUGAACCCAGGUGGCGGAGGUUGAAGUGAGCUGAGAUCGCACCACUGCACUAUAGCCUGGGUGACAGAGCAAGACUCCAUUUCAAAAAAACAAAAACAAAAACAAAACAAAACAAAAAAACCCCAGGAAUUUAUUCUCUCAUAAUUCUCAAUGUCAGAAGUUUGAAAUCAAGGGGUCAGCCAUGUUGGGUUUUUUUUUUAAGGCUCUGAGGAAGAAUCUGCCCCCUGCCUCUCUCCGGCUUCUGGGGGCUGCCAGCAAUUCUUGGUGCUCCUUGGCUUGUAGAUGCAUCACCCCAACCUCUGCUUUUUUUCUUCCCUGCAUCUUCUCUCUUCUCUCAAUUUCCCUUUUCUUAUAAGGACACCAGUCACUAGAUCAAAACUCAUCCUAAUGCACUAUGUCCUCAUCCUAACUUAACCACCUCUGCAAAGACCCUACUUCCCAAAAGGCCACAGCACAGACACCAGCAUAGACCUUUAACAUAUUCUUUCAUGGGACACAAUUCAACCCACAACAGUAGCUAUUGUUCUAAUCCUUGUAUUACAGAUUAUAAACUGAGACCCAGGGAGUAACUUACCCAGAGAUACAGAAAAUAAGGGGUAUGACUCAGUUUGUAAUCUGUCUAGACCUCAUUAUUACCAUUUGCCCUUGCUUGUACCAGGCCUUUUAGUGGGUGCUUCAUUUUCAUUUCUAAUCCUUAUCUCAACUGCAGAGAGUCAUAUCCCUCAUUUUACAAACAGAGGCUUAGAUAAUUUAAAUGGCUUCCCCAGUGUCUGAGUCUAUUUGUGUUGCUAUAAAGGAAUACCUGAGGCUGGGUGAUUUAUAAAGAAAAGAGGUUAAUUUGGCUUAUGGUUCUGCGGGCUGUACAAGCAUCGCACCAAUAUCUGCUUCUGGUUAGGACUUGUGGCUGCUUCCACUCAUGGUGGAGGGGAAGGGGAGCCUGCGUGUGCAGACUCCCCUUGUAUGGAAACAGAGGAGGCAAAGAGAGGGCAGGGAGGUGCCAGGCUUCAUAACAACCAGCUCUCAUGGGAACUAAGAGUGAGAACUCACUCAUCACCACAAAGGUGCCACCAAGCUAUUCUUGAGGGAUCCACCCGCAUGACCCAAACACCUCUUAUUAGGCCUACCUUCAACACUGGGGAUCAAAUUUCACCAUGAGGUUUGCAGGAGUCAAACAAGCCAAACUAGAGCACCAAGUCACCAUGGGUAGGUAGAAAGUGGCAUAUUUGGGAUCUAAUCUGAAGUUGUGGCCAAUAAUUCUCACCCAGGUCAACACACCAGACAUCUUUGGGAUGGCUUGCUCCUCCUCAUCCUAUAGCCUCUGCCUUGAGAUGGUGUAACUUCCUCCCUGCAGUUGAGAAUCAUGACUGUAAAUGACACACUACUGGAAUUGCCCAUGUGAAGAGUGCAGAGGCAGAAAAUGAAUCACUGACCUUUACAGCACUGCAACUGAUGCCUCACAGUGGGUAAUGGUCUGACCAAGCAUUCAUCUUCUUUCCGGCAGCCAAGGAAGAGUUGAACAGAAAACCCACACAAUCAGGAAGACCCAUUAAACAGCUAUAUAUGCCACAACUAAUUACUUCCUUAUGGGGUGCUCCAUGUGGGCUGAAGAUCACUUCCCUAACAGGUGCCUUCCUGGGAAGAAGCCUCUAUUAUCACAUUGGAGAGGAACAAAGUCUCAGACAAAUCCCAUACUGCAGUUAUUUAAAUGACCUCAUUCUUCCUCAAAAUAGAAAAUCAAAAGCAUCACUUCCUGGCAACUGCUGUGCACUCUUCCUUAAUAUCAAAGAUAUGUAACACACACAGGCUCAUCAGUGCCUUACAAACAUACAAACCCUGAGCACAGAGCCCUUCAAGCAAUGCUUGAGCCAUAGCAGCUGCCUUAAAUCAACACUGAUGUGAGAAAACACUCUGCCCAAUGCCACUUCUGCAAGUUGGAGCAACACUUACCAGUUAAGGUUGUUUUUACUCCUUUGUCUUGAAAAGACACCACAAAAGAAGCAGGGCCUAAGCAUGGGCUUUGGAGGCAGGUGGACUUGAAUGUCAACCCCAGCUCCAUCAUGCACUUCCUGUGGGAACCUAGGAAAGUUAUUUCUCUUCUCUAGGCCUCAGUUUCCUUGCCUGUAAAUGGAGAUAUAGACAUCUGCCUCAGAAAGGAAUGUGAACAUACCACUCUUACCCUUGAUUCUUAACAGGGAAUAGGAGCAAUGGGCAAGAAUGAAACAUUGUUUGAAGUCUGGUUUUAUUUAUUCUAUGUGCCUCUACACUUCUAUAAUACUUAGAAAAGAUCUGGCUUAAAUAAUGGAUGUGAGCACAGUUCUGGCAGAGGCACUGCGGAUGAGAAAACAAUUGACAGAAUGAGAAGACUGAAUGAAAAGAGAUUGACAGAAGUCAUUCAUUUCUUUCAUGUGCUCAGUACUAUCCCAUUGAAUAAAACACACUCAUACACAUGGCUGGAUGGGGUUAGGGGACAAUCUGUGACGCUUUAUUGCCUGCCUGUGCUGUCUGAGAAAAUCAAGGUAGGUUUAGUUAGGGCAUGUGAAUCCCAGGGAAUGUAAUGCCCAAGCCCUAGGUUGCAAACCGUUCAGUCUAAAGGUAUACCAUGAAGGGACCCAGCCUCAAGGCCCCUUUCUCAAGUGGGAGAAAGUAUAUAGAAAGUAGAAGAAAAAAGAAUAGGCUCACAUGUUUCAGGAAAACAUAUAAGAACUAUUAGAAAAAAGAAAUUCAUAAAGGUUUUGUGAUUCAUUUAACCUUAUUAGUCAAUGUCUAUGAUUUUAAUGUUAUUACUAGAAUCACACUGUUCAUUAUUUCCCCCAGUUCGUUUAAAUCUGCAAAUACCUUAUGUUCAGUUUUACAUCUGUUAAAGCAAGAUCCUCAAGGGCAGGGAUGGAAUUCUACUCACUUCUGCAUCCCUUGACAUUGCAGUGUGUGGAACAGAGAUGACAAAUACAGGUUCAAUUUGUGCCACCUGAAAGAGUGCCAUCUAGAAGCAGUUGCUUCAAACUGCACUUCAACGGGACCCACACGCCCUGCUAAGCAACUCAAACUCAUCAUGAAAUAAAUCUGCAGAAGAAAUGUGUACUCUCUAUUCAAACUCUGAAGUAAAUAAAAUGUGUAUGAUUGACACAAUCACAAAAUGGCAUUUAAGUGGAAGUCUGCUUCCUGAAGAAAUAAAAGCCAGAGCAAAC
rnacentral:lncRNA from 1 species